GAUGAACGCUAGCGGCAGGCUUAACACAUGCAAGUCGAGGGGUAGAAGGAGCUUGCUCCUUUGAGACCGGCGCACGGGUGCGUAACGCGUAUGCAAUCUACCUUUUGCAGAGGAUAGCCCAGAGAAAUUUGGAUUAAUACCUCAUAGUAUGUGAGGAUGGCAUCAUUUUUCACAUUAAAGUCACAACGGCAAAAGAUGAGCAUGCGUCCCAUUAGCUAGUUGGUAAGGUAACGGCUUACCAAGGCAACGAUCAGUAGCUGGUCUAAG
rnacentral:rRNA from 1 species